rnacentral:rRNA from 1 species
ACGGGAGGCAGCAGCUAAGAAUAUUCCGCAAUGGACGAAAGUCUGACGGAGCGACGCCGCGUGGAUGAUGAAGGUCAGAAGAUUGUAAAAUCCUUUUAUAACUGAGGAAUAAGUCUGGUGAGAGAAACGCCGGAUGGUGACUGUAGGUUAUGAAUAAGCAACGGCUAAUUACGUGCCAGCAGCCGCGGUAAUACGUAGGUUGCAAGCGUUGUCCGGAUUUACUGGGUGUAAAGGGCGUGUAGGCGGAGCUGCAAGUCAGAUGUGAAAUCCCGGGGCUCAACCCCGGAACUGCAUUUGAAACUGUAGCCCUUGAGUAUCGGAGAGGCAAGCGGAAUUCCUAGUGUAGCGGUGAAAUGCGUAGAUAUUAGGAGGAACACCAGUGGCGAAGGCGGCUUGCUGGACGACAACUGACGCUGAGGCGCGAAAGCGUGGGGAGCAAACAGGAUUAGAUACCCUGGUA